GUCCGGAACCUGUGCAAUUGCAGACCGCGAACCGCGUCAGGGCCGGAAGGCAGCAGCGCUAAGCGGACCCUGUAAUGUGCCGCAGGUCACUCCGGAUCGC
rnacentral:SRP_RNA from 1 species